rnacentral:rRNA from 1 species
UGGUGCAGGAUGAGCCCGCGGCCUAUCAGCUUUGUUGGUGGGGUGAUGGCCUUACCAAGGCGACGACGGGUAGCCGGCCUGAGAGGGCGACCGGCCACACUGGGACUGAGACACGGCCCAGACUCCUACGGGAGGCAGCAGUGGGGAAUAUUGCACAAUGGGCGAAAGCCUGAUGCAGCGACGCCGCGUGAGGGAUGACGGCCUUCGGGUUGUAAACCUCUUUCAGCAGGGACGAAGCGCAAGUGACUGUACCUGCAGAAGAAGCACCGGCUAACUACGUGCCAGCAGCCGCGGUAAUA